CAUCUUGGAAAGCGAAACUGACAGCGAACAGGCCUGGGCCCGUUUAAAGAGCAGCUCGCGGAACUCCCCAACACCGAUCCGCAGAGACGAGGACAGUAACAGAGCGAAUCAUUACUGUCAACCAGACAACAAGGACUACAGAAAUACGCUUAUUUAAAAGUUUUAUGCAAUCUGCAAUUGGACCCUAAAUCCCAUCAAAAAUAUUCACACGUUCAGCAAAGUGGACCAAUAGUAAUUCAGUCAGAAUGGAAAACCCAAACAGGGGCAGGAGAGGUAGAGGAGCCAACCAUCACAGAAUAGGUGCUGAGGCUGGUCAGAGAGAAGAGGAAGGAAUAGCCAACCGAGGGGGAAGAGGUAGGGGGGGGCAGGGGAGAGAGGAGAGGUGUUAAUGGGGGGGAAUCCAAGGGAG